rnacentral:rRNA from 1 species
GACGAACCGUGCGAACGUUAUUCGGAAUCACUGGGCUUAAAGCGCGUGUAGGCGGGACGGCACGUCGGUCGCUGAAAUCCCCCGGCUCAACCGGGGAACGGGCGCCGAUACGACCGCCCUGGAGGGACGUAGGGGGACCUGGAACUUCCGGUGGAGCGGUGAAAUGCGUUGAGAUCGGAAGGAACGCCCGUGGCGAAAGCGGGCCCCUGGACGUCUACUGACGCUGAGACGCGAAAGCCAGGGGAGCGAACGGG